CUUUAAUUCCAUCCCUUUAGGAGACUGAGGUUCAGUCUCCACACUGUGCUCAUUAAGGCAGGAAGGAGGGAGCUGCUCAUGGCCCACAGUGGCCUAUCAUUUGGAGUUAUUGAGCACAGACUGUGCCUGAGUUAGCCACAGAGCCCUGAAGGUGCUCCCGCCCCCCGGUGUCCUCAUGAAACCUUGAGUUUCACUCAUCACGGUGCUGCUAUUGCAGAUACUCUACUGGGCGGAUGCCACCUGCCUGCUGCUUGCAGGAUCGUAAAUGGGCAGUGCCCAAGCAACAGAGCAGCUCGCUGAUGAGGAAGGAAAGACGUCAAGGAAAAGGAACUGCGGGUGGCCCUGUCUUUCCCGGUCCUUCCUUGUCAUCAUUUCCAGCACAAGUGGUUGCUCACACGGGGAAGCGAUGCAAGGAAGAGAGGAUAUGACAGGGCUCCUUCAUCAUGUGUGUUUCUCAGAAUGCCACGGCCUUCUGUCUGCGCUAGGAGCAAGUUCUGGUUGGAAUGGAAAGCGAGACCUUUCGCAGUUGCCAGCGCCCCCCGUGCUCAGCUGCAGGAGUAACUCACUUCUCUUGUACUCAGUGAAUGUCGCUGAACUCUCCUGCAUCGUGGGCUCCCUGGAGUUCUGUGCUCUGGGGCAUCACAAACGCUGGAGGUGAAUGCAGCAGCCAGGAACGGGUUUGUGCGGAUCUCCUCUUCUCCUUUGCAGGCCCCAAUAUCCCAUUGGAUUUCACUCCCAAAACACAAGAUAAAAGAUAAAAUUAUCAAAGAGUUUCAAGAUGGCAAGAUCGGAGCAAUCAACCGAGCUUGGGAUCCUUCUGUGCAUAGGGCCCUGUGAAACUGCUCAGGUCCUAUGCCCGUGAGGCUGGCCCUGUCUGAAGGACUGGCAGGAUGUGUGUGGGCAGAAAGAGAGGACAGAGGGCAUCCCAGGCAAGAGGGGCUUCAGCAAAGACGCAGGGGUAGGAACAUUCCUGGAACACUUAAAAGAGAGAGAGGGAAAGCCUGGUUAGGAAUGGGGUCCCGUUGGUGAGCAUGGGCCAGGAGAGAGGCUUACCAUCUUGGAAACUUCCGUAUCACUCCGCUGGGCCUGUGGACCCUGAACAUGUGGCUCCCGUGCCUCCCCAGGCCUGAAUCAGCUCUGCCUGAGGCUCCCCGCACUGUUUCCCCACUGGACCUUUCACGCAUGGGUGUAAUUAUUUGUUAAAUGAGGGCCAACUGCACUGGACCCCACGCUCGUUGAGAAAGGAGUAGAUGCUGCUCUGUGUUUCUGAACCUCCCUUAGUGCCUGACAUUAUGGAAGGAAGAAAGAAGAGCUCACUCCUCAGGAGUUACACUUUUUUAGCAUGGGAUUCAAGUAGCUGAUUCCUUAAGCUACCAGCAAUUUCAUCUUGAAAAAUGACCUAAUUCUCUAGUUUCCCAUUAAUUUAGACUGGCUUUCUCUUUGAUAGAACAAAAGAGAGCCGCACCUCGUCAGAAGAGUGACUGCAGAUGCACGAAAUGAGUGGGCCUUUCUGCCUAUGGGUGACAUCAUCUUAAAGCUUUAGAAAAGUCACAGACGUGGCCGGGUGCGGUGGCUCACACCUGUCAUCCCAGCACUUUGGGAGGCCGAGGCAGAUGGAUCACGAGGUCAGGAGUUCGAGACCAACCUGGCCAACAUAGUGAAACCCCAUCUCUACUAAAAAUACAAAAAUUAACUGGGCGUGGUGGCGCAUGCCUGGAGUCCCAGCUACUCAGAAGGCUGAGGCAGGAGAAUCACUUGAACCCAGGAAGCAGAGGUUGCAGUAAGCCAAGAUCCUGCCACUGCACUUCAGCCCGGUUACCGAGCAAGACUCCAUCUCAAAAAAAAAAAAAAAAAAAAAGAAAAGUCACAGACGUUAUGCUCCUUCGGUAGUGGUAGUGUAAGCGAUGAGAUCUGGCAAGGGCAAAGAGGAUGACUGGAUGGAUUAUAAUAAGGCAGAUAAAUGUGGAAGAUAAGACCCCAGACCCUAGCGUCUUUCCAGCUCUGAAAUGCCUUCGUUCUCAGUGAGGCUGGUUGAACAACUAUGUUGUUGAUUCAGGUUGGUUUCACAUACCUCUGAGAGGAGAAGAAAGAAAUAUUUCUGGGCUGUUUGGUGAAUGCGUUUCAUGGAUAGAGAGAGGGCAAAGAGGGACAACCUUUACAGAUUAUAUAUUGGCUUAAGUCUACUCACCACCAAGCAAUUGGCUAAAGAUGUCAAGUUUUCCUGGUUCGGUUUUCAAAGUUACAUUGCAGAACAAACAUUUAAAUUCCUGGUGGAUUGUCUCCCGGUUUCCCUCCAGAUGUUUGGUGUGGUGUAGAUAUCACAGUAAAUAAAUGUGUUUAAAAGUCUAAUAAAUUAGGCUAGAGGGUGUGUGGGGGAGGGGGGUGCUAUUUUGCUGUGGCCCUGGGACAAAGACACAGUGGGGAUCAAGAGGUUGCGGAGUUGCUUGCUCCAGCUGAUGACAAAGGCAGGUAAAGCCAGGGCUAGAGUCCCUUCCCAGCCCUCCAAAUGCCGUUAGCGCCAUGAUCCUACAGCCUCCUCAAAGUCCAGUCAGGCAAACUCUUGCCCUUGUUUCCAUUAAACACAUAUCUUCAUCUUUUUCGUACUUUUAAUAAUAGCAGGAAGUAAAUCUGGCCAUGUAAUGUGAGAAAGGUAAUAGUCCCAGGUCAGGAAAUCCUGUUGCUUGGAGUCUCUUGGGAAUGUUAACUUUCCCACUCUCACCCUACCGGGAUCCUGACCUCCUGCACAGUUGGCUUCCUCAGGCAAAACUGGGCCAGAAAUUCUGGGCCGUUGGCCAGAGUCAGACCUUCGUCCUCUGGUAGCGUCCGCUGGAAAAGAGGAGGCGAGAGUCACCAGGAGGCUGGCCCCACUCGCAGGCCCUGCCCUCUGCCGGUGGGUCCUAUGGAUGACACGAGGCCGCACUGGGCUGGAGAAGAAGAGAAGCUCCUGAGACACGCCCACUCUGCAGAGGGAGGCAACCGCACAGGUAAUCCAUCCUCUCUAGGCUUUUCUGUUCCCGUGCAGUAAGUGAAGUGAAGCAAGGUGAAGAAGUGAAGUGAGCAUUCAGGACAUGAAUUGGCACGUGGUCGGUGCUAGAGGAGCUGGCAAGGUAGACUCUGGUCUCUUCUGUGGUGCUGAAGCUGGGGAAAUAAGGAACAAUCUCAUCCACAGGCCAGGCCUCCGGCGUGCUCGGGAGCUACUGACGGAAACUCCUAGGGAACUUCCCUUGUGGAAAGAACGUAAGCUCCGCCCACUCGGGCAGCUGAGGCCAUUGAUUCGUUCACUCAUUCGCUGGACUAUUUCUCCAGCCCAUGAUCUUAUUUUAUAACAAGUACAACAUUCAUUCAUUUUUACACAUAAUUACCUCACUUAUUCCAUGGAAGAACCCUGCAAGUUUGAUGGUUG
rnacentral:lncRNA from 1 species